rnacentral:tRNA from 1 species
GGGAAUGUAGCUCAGUGGUAGAGCACUUGCUUAGCAUGCAUGAGGCCCUGGGUUCAAUCCUCAGUACCA